AGAGUUUGAUCCUGGCUCAGGAUGAACGCUGGCGGCGUGCCUAAUACAUGCAAGUCGAGCGAACAGAUAAGGAGCUUGCUCCUUUGACGUUAGCGGCGGACGGGUGAGCAACACGUGGGUAACCUACCUAUAAGACUGGAAUAACUCCGGGAAACCGGGGCUAAUGCCGGAUAACAUGUUGAACCGCAUGGUUCUACAGUGAAAGGCGGCUUUGCUGUCACUUAUAGAUGGACCCGCGCCGUAUUAGCUAGUUGGUGAGGUAACGGCUCACCAAGGCAACGAUACGUAGCCGACCUGAGAGGGUGAUCGGCCACACUGGAACUGAGACACGGUCCAGACUCCUACGGGAGGCAGCAGUAGGGAAUCUUCCGCAAUGGGCGAAAGCUGACGGAGCAACGCCGCGUGAGUGAUGAAGGUCUUCGGAUCGUAAAACUCUAUUAUUAGGGAAGAACAAAUGCGUAAGUAACUGUGCGCGUCUUGACGGUACCUAAUCAGAAAGCCACGGCUAACUACGUGCCAGCAGCCGCGGUAAUACGUAGGUGGCAAGCGUUAUCCGGAAUUAUUGGGCGUAAAGCGCGCGUAGGCGGUUUUUUAAGUCUGAUGUGAAAGCCCACGGCUCAACCGUGGAGGGUCAUUGGAAACUGAAAAACUUAAGUGCAGAAGAGGAAAGUGGAAUUCCAUGUGUAGCGGUGAAAUGCGCAGAGAUAUGGAGGAACACCAGUGGCGAAGGCGACUUUCUGGUCUGUAACUGACGCUSAUGUGCGAAAGCGUGGGGGAUCAAACAGGAUURGAUWCCCUGGUAGUC
rnacentral:rRNA from 1 species